UGGUUACUAUUCAAAUAAGCAUAAUAAUUAGCUUUAAUUUAUGAUAACUUGUCAUUAUCAUGAUUUUUAAAAUACCAAUUUCUAAAAUUCUGGUAUUUGUUCUGCAUAAACUCCCGGUUUAAACAUUGGCGAAUUUUACUAUUUGGAGCAAAAUCAAUUUAACACUCAAAAUUCAUAUCACUAGCAGUUGGACUAUAAGGUCUUCUGUUCUGAGGAGUAGCCUCAUAAAUACCAUGAGGUAUUUGGUUUUCAGAAAUAUGAAUUCCUCUAAUUAUGUCUUCAUUUUUGACAGACUCAUUGCUGGGAUUUUUAGACUCUUGAUAAACAGAUUCUAAAGGGUCAGACAUAGAUUGUCUAGAUGAUUCAGGGAAAUCAAUAUUAUAAGAAAUAUU
rnacentral:lncRNA from 1 species